GUUUCUUUGAUCUUGUGCAACCUAUUUGGACCGAUGAUAGCCCGCGGAUAGGUGUGGAAACCCAUCUAUAUUGCACCCAGUAUGACACAGAAAAAAAGCCCAGGGCCUAGGGGUCGGGUGGGGCUCGUUCGGGGUGCACAACGGUUGCGCCAAAAACGGUCCAAAAAUGGCCAAGGCUUUACCAUACGAAAAAUCGGCCGAUUUUUAACCAUGUGAGAAACGUCCCGAAAAUUCACAGAUAACUACUAGGAGGCCUCACUCUGAGUAAUAUCAAAGUUUUUUCCCACAAAACCGCUCGGAGAUGCCCAACUCAGUUUUUAUUUUCGUCCCAAUACUUUUCUUCCAAUGGACUAGUUGUGUUUCUUUGAUCUUGUGCAACCUAUUUAGGCCGAUGAUAGCCGCGGAUAGGGUGGAAACCCAUCUAUAUUGCACCCAGUACGACACAGAAAAAAAGCCCAGGGCCUAGGGGUCGGGUGGGGCUCGUUCGGGGUGCACAACGGUUGCGCCAAAAACGGUCCAAAAAUGGCCAAGGCUUUACCAUACGAAAAAUCGGCCGAUUUUUAACCAUGUGAGAAACGUCCCGAAAAUUCACAGAUAACUACUAGGAGGCCUCACUCUGAGUAAUAUCAAAGUUUUUUCCCACAAGAACCGCUCGGAGAUGCCCGGACUCAGUUUUUAUUUUCGUCCCAAUACUUUUCUUCCAAUGGACUAGUUGUGUUUCUUUGAUCUUGUGCAACCUCUUUAGGCCGAUGAUAGCCCGCGGAUAGGUGUGGAAACCCAUCUAUAUUGCACCCAGUACGACACAGAAAAAAAGCCCAGGGCCUAGGGGUCGGGUGGGGCUCGUUCGGGGUGCACAACGGUUGCGCCAAAAACGGUCCAAAAAUGGCCAAGGCUUUACCAUACGAAAAAUCGGCCGAUUUUUAACCAUGUGAGAAACGUCCCGAAAAUUCACAGAUAACUACUAGGAGGCCUCACUCUGAGUAAUAUCAAAGUUUUUUCCCACAAGAACCGCUCGGAGAUGCCCGGACUCAGUUUUUAUUUUCGUCCCAAUACUUUUCUUCCAAUGGACUAGUUGUGUUUCUUUGAUCUUGUGCAACCUCUUUAGGCCGAUGAUAGCCCGCGGAUAGGUGUGGAAACCCAUCUAUAUUGCACCCAGUACGACACAGAAAAAAAGCCCAGGGCCUAGGGGUCGGGUGGGGCUCGUUCGGGGUGCACAACGGUUGCGCCAAAAACGGUCCAAAAAUGGCCAAGGCUUUACCAUACGAAAAAUCGGCCGAUUUUUAACCAUGUGAGAAACGUCCCGAAAAUUCACAGAUAACUACUAGGAGGCCUCACUCUGAGUAAUAUCAAAGUUUUUUCCCACAAGAACCGCUCGG
rnacentral:lncRNA from 1 species